rnacentral:tRNA from 1 species
GGGGAUUUAGCUCAGUGGUAAAGCACUUGCCUAGCAAGCAAGCGCAAGGCCUUGGGUUCAGUCCCCA